rnacentral:rRNA from 1 species
GAUGAACGCUAGCUAUAGGCUUAACACAUGCAAGUCGAGGGACCGGCGCACGGGUGAGUAACGCGUAUCCAACCUGCCCAUAACUAAGGGCUAACCCAGCGAAAGUUGGACUUAUUCCUUAUGGUUAUGGAUGGGGAUGCGUCGGAUUAGCUUGUUGGCGGGGUAACGGCCCACCAAGGCAGCGAUCAGGAGGGGUUCUGAGAGGAAGGUCCCCCACAUUGGAACGGAGACACGGUCCAACAGCCUACGAGAGGCAGCAGUGAGGGAUAUUGGUCAAUGGACGCAAGUCGGAACCAGCCAAGUAGCGUGCAGGAGGACGGCAUAUGGGUGGUAAACUGCUUUUAUAUGGGGAUAGGUACCAGAUGAAUAAGGACCGGCUAAUUCCGUGCCAGCAGCCGCGGUAAUUC